AGCAGCCGCGGUAAUUCCAGCUCCAAUAGCGUAUAUUAAAGUUGUUGCAGUUAAAAAGCUCGUAGUUGAAUUUCGGGAUUGGCGCAUCGGUCGUGCCUCGCGGGGUAUGAACUGGUGCAGUCAAUUUCUCACCUUCUGGAGAACCGCGAUGUCCUUAAUUGGAUGCCGCGGGGAACCAGGACCUUUACUUUGAAAAAAUUAGAGUGUUUAAAGCAGGCAUUUUUGCUUGAAUACAUUAGCAUGGAAUAAUAAAAUAGGACGGCAUGGUUCUAUUUUGUUGGUUUCUAGGACCACCGUAAUGAUUAAUAGGGAUAGUUGGGGGCAUUAGUAUUCAAUUGUCAGAGGUGAAAUUCUUGGAUUUAUUGAAGACUAACUACUGCGAAAGCAUUUGCCAAGGAUGUUUUCAUUAAUCAAGAACGAAAGUUAGGGGAUCGAAGACGAUCAGAUACCGUCGUAGUCUUAACCAUAAACUAUGCCGACUAGGAAUCAGACGAUGUUAAUUUUUUAAUGACUCGUUUGGCACCUUACG
rnacentral:rRNA from 1 species